rnacentral:tRNA from 1 species
GCCAGCGGCAGCGGCGCGGCCCCGGUCGCGCUCCCGGUUCCGGUCCGGGGCCCGGCGGGGGUCCCGUCCGCGCGCAGGUC